GACAGAGGGUGCAACCGUUGUUCGGAAUUACUGGGCGUAAAGCGCGUGUAGGCGGCAGCGUGUGUCGGGCGUGAAAUCCCAUGGCUCAACCAUGGAAGUGCACCCGAAACUGCGCAGCUAGAGUCCUGGAGAGGAAGGUGGAAUACUUGGUGUAGAGGUGAAAUUCGUAGAUAUCAAGUGGAACACCGGUGGCGAAGGCGGCCUUCUGGACAGUGACUGACGCUGAGACGCGAAAGCUAGGGGAGCAAACGGG
rnacentral:rRNA from 1 species